rnacentral:rRNA from 1 species
CCUACGGGAUGCAGCAGUGGGGAAUAUUGCACAAUGGGCGCAAGCCUGAUGCAGCCAUGCCGCGUGUAUGAAGAAGGCCUUAGGGUUGUAAAGUACUUUCAGUUGGGAGGAAGGCGUUGAUGCUAAUAUCAUCAACGAUUGACGUUACCAACAGAAGAAGCACCGGCUAACUCCGUGCCAGCAGCCGCGGUAAUACGGAGGGUGCAAGCGUUAAUCGGAAUUACUGGGCGUAAAGCGCACGCAGGCGGUUGAUUAAGUUAGAUGUGAAAUCCCCGGGCUUAACCUGGGAAUGGCAUCUAAGACUGGUCAGCUAGAGUCUUGUAGAGGGGGGUAGAAUUCCAUGUGUAGCGGUGAAAUGCGUAGAGAUGUGGAGGAAUACCGGUGGCGAAGGCGGCCCCCUGGACAUUAACUGACGCUGAGGAGCGAAAGCGUGGGGAGCAAACAGGAUUAGAUACCCGCGUAGUC